rnacentral:rRNA from 1 species
UACGGAGGGUGCAAGCGUUAUCCGGAUUUACUGGGUUUAAAGGGUGCGUAGGUGGGUCUGUAAGUCAGUGGUGAAAUCUCCGAGCUUAACUCGGAAACUGCCAUGGAUACUAUUAAUCUUGAAUGUUGUGGAGGUUAGCGGAAUAUGUCAUGUAGCGGUGAAAUGCUUAGAUAUGACAUAGAACACCAAUUGCGAAGGCAGCUGGCUACACAAAUAUUGACGCUGAGGCACGAAAGCGUGGGGAUCAAACAGG